CUAUUGCCCUUGCUGUGUAUGAGAGAGGCAAUAGUGGAGGUAGAGGAUGACUGGGACUUGACCGCAAAAGAACUCGAUUCUCUUGAACUCGAUGCUUUCCAAAACAUUGCUCAACUUGGCGACUCUUCUACCCCUCCUUCUUCUCAACAAUUCAAUCUACAACAACACCAACACCACCAUUUUCCAAAACCACCUUCUGCCAACCAUUCUCAACCCUUCCCACCAAACCCCAUUUCGGAUUUCCGUCUUCAAAGGGUGGACGCUUUGCCUCAAGGAGCUAGAGCAUUACCCCCCUCAUUGAAACCAGGGACAAAAAAGACGAGCCUUCUAAAGAACUGCCGAAGUUUUCUGUCAAACUUUUUCUUCAUUCCAGCGGGCAUGUUGCAGCGAAAUUCCAAUAUGACCAGGAUUCACAUGCUAACUUCAUCAAGAGCUAUGUUUCAUGGCAGGUAAUAAUUUCUGCUUUUCGGAGAAUCCCUAGAUCUUCUUGGAAUGCAAAAGAAAGGUAUCUCUGUCUCUCCUCCAGCAAUAAGUGUGCGUGUUCAUCCUAGCACGCUUGUCUGGAUUGGCUGUUUUGAGGGCUUAGUUAUUUGAAAAUUUUUGAGUCUGUAGGUUAUGGAUGUUCCUGCUUUCUUCCUUGUCAGAAGCAGAGAAGGUUCUAGGAAAAAUAUCUAAUUAUAAAGUUUAGUUGGAAGUGGUAAAAGCCAAAAGUAAGUCUUCCAAAUCAAAAGAUGAGUCUGAAUCUCUUAAAUUUACUCAAAAGAAUCUGAUUAGCAAGGUUUGCAUGGAAGAAGCCCUGAACAUAAUCUUGACUUGUACAAUUUGUUUGGAAGAUUUUCUUAUUACCUAGAACUAUGAUAGGU